AACCUGUGAUGAAGAGAUUCUGCCAAAUGAUAAGGAUGAUAUUAUCCCUAACCGUUCCAUUAUUUCUGAGGAA
rnacentral:snoRNA from 1 species